rnacentral:lncRNA from 1 species
AAUAAUUUCAAAAGUUAAUUCCAAAAUAUACAAUUAUAUAUCUAAAUUUGAUGCAUCCUCAAUAUACAACUAUUCUACAAGAGACACAAUAAAUCUGUAGAAUAAAAAUUAGCUAAUGGGAGGCUAGACAAUAAGUUCCACAUCAAAAAAACAAAUUCUAAGUGAUUGAUCAUGUGAUUGAAAAUGUCGUCACUCGAUCCUUGAUCUUCUUGCAUUCAAGAAUUAAAAUGCACCCUAUAAAUUCAAAAGAAACAACAAUUAGCACAAAAAUGAUUAGCAAACCCAAAGAAAAUUAUAAUACAAAGAUCAAGUUUACUUUGUAAAAAUGCUACUAAUAGAAUUUCAAGAAGAAAAAAUUAUGUCUUGAUAUUCUUUUACAAGAAUUUUUAACAAAUAACAAAAGGGAAAAACCCAAAGCAACAACACAAGUAAACGAACAUGUACACCUUUUAAAGAAUUUCUUAAGGAAUCUUCAUCCCAACAUUACAACCUUAUUAUUUUUAAGUUCCCACGCAAUAUUUAUAACAAAUAAGAUAUAAUAUUUAUCAAAUUGUUGGGAUAACCUGCAAAAUUUAACCCAAAAACCUAAGUCAAAUAGAUAUGAUGAGAAUCAAAAACCUUAAAAUAUAGAGAUAUGAAUAUAACUCGGAAUAGAGAAUGGCAUCAAUUUAAAUGAAGAAGAAAUGGGAAAGCGGGAGGAGGGGGUGGCGGCUGAGAGGGGGAGGAUAUGAAGUUAGGUUUUGGUUU